UGAGCCGUGCAGUGAGAGCUGGCACAGACAGGUCAGCCGGUGGCACUCCCCACCUCUGCUGGGAGGGCUGAAGGGGAUCUGCACAUCUGCAGAGACCUCUGUUUCCAUGGAUACUUCUGCCUCCAACACCUCUGCACCCGUGCUCCAGUUAAGGUCCCUCUCGUGUUUGGCACAGGCUGAACAUUUUCAUAAAAAUAAAUCAGUAGCAGGAGGUAUUUCUAGAACUGUUUGCAAUGCUCAGGCCUGAGAAAUGAAAGUUCGAAGCAACUAUGGCAACAACCCAAACUGCUUUAUUUUGCAAAAAAUACAAAUGAGGAAAAAAUUGCUUGAUGGAGCAAAGAGCAAAAAUUGCUUGAUGGGGAAGGAGAAAGAUGUUUUUAAUUUGACUAAAAUUUACCAGCUGGUUAUAACCAUGGAAUUUUAAAGUAAGGAAUCUGGCAAGGCAAUACCUGAACAAUGUGCUAACAUGCAGAAAAACACUGAAAAUUUUUAAUUAAAAAGGAAACCAAGGGUAUAGACUCUAAGCGGAAGGAAUAGAUUCAGCAAUGUUUGCUGUCACAUUGACUGAUACAAUUUUAUAUCUUUGAAAAUGAACUGGGUAAAAAAAUCCAAUUGAAUAUUGAUGAAACAGAGAUGAUCCCAAAUUAUAAAGCAUGGAAAAAAUAUCAGAAAGUAGGUUAUUUUCCUCAGACAAAGAUACACAUUAACUAGAGCUGAGACUAUCGACAGAAUUAAAGAGAAAAAAGUUGCUUGGCAGACCUAGUGCUAAAACACUGACCCAAAACAGAGGUAAACUGAGGCAGGUUACAUUUAUAUCUCACAGAGAUGCUGGAAAUGCAAGGGGGACCCAGACACCUCCAUCCCAUGUGUUAUCUUCUCUGAGCACUGCAGUUUUGAUCACCUCUAUGGAUGUUGGAGAUUCCCGGGUGAUUUCAAUCAUUAGAUCUGAUCUUUAGGCAGUAUUGAUUGUGAAGAUCAAGGUGUAAAGGGAGCAAAGAACAGACACAGACUGCUUACAACACAGGCCAAUGAAAUGAAGGAAAGAGGGUUUUGUGGGGUUAGGAGGGGCACAGAACUUUCAGAAAUGGCUGUUAAGAUGAAAGAAAUAACUUUUACUGGUAGUAAGUAGACAAUAAAAUAGCUGCAUGGAAAUUUCAGCAAAGAGGGCAGAAAAGCCAACCCUCAAGAACAGAUUCCUCCAUAAAGGAGGUGACUGUUCCUAGUCUUCUAUUCAAGGGGCACUUCAAGCCUCAUAUGAACCAUUAGAAUUUUAAUUUUACAGUCUGUCUAGUUCAUAGAUGCCAUUUAAGAUUUUUUCUUUUCGUUCUCAUGCAACCGACCUUUUGAACAUCAAACCUGCCAGAAUCAGCUACAAGAGAAAUCAGCUCUUCAGCCACUGCAAAGAAAAGCAUGAACCAUCUACAAGUAAUUUUAGUCUGCCACUGCAGCUAUUCAAAAGUCAUCCCAGCUCAUUUGGUUUUAAAAAAGAGAAACAAUCACCUUUCCUUGUUCAAAAACAUCAGGUUGACUGUCAAAACAUGGAAUAUGCAAGACUGAAUGAUUCUUCCUAGGUGGUAAAAUAGAUAAUGUGAACUGCAGCAAGACCUUCAAAUCCUCAUCUUGCUAGCAGGGUCCUCACUAACACAAGGCUUCAACACAGGAAAAUACAGACAUGGCUCUGGGUCAGGUCUGAGGUUCAGAGUUAAGUGGUUCCUCUGGAACCCAAAGAGAGGAAAUUUGCAAUUUUACCUUAUAAACUCUAACACAAAGGACAAUUUUUAUGAUGGCCAUGACUCAAAAGAAGCCAAGCUUUUUUUUUUUUUUUUUUUAAUAAUGCAUAGAAGUAAGUAACAAAAACCAGGAAAUCUGCUUUGGGCACAGAUCAAAUCCAGACUAUCUAUGCUGACAGAGAAAGUUUAGAGUGCUUGAAAACAGCAAAGUUUAACAGAAACCAUUUUGUGACUUUAACCAUUGCUACAAGGCACUCAUUAAAAUGCUACAGUGCAUUAAAAUACAUUAGCCUUACGUUAUUGCUGUAUUAAAUACCCCUAAGGUGUAAAAACACAAUAAUCAAAGCAUUAAAAAAUCACUGCCUGCUGCUUUACCUGGUCACUGCCAGCCACACAGGUUGGGUUCACGUCUAUAUCAUUUUAACCUGAUAUAUUUUGACUUUUUUUCCCCAUCCUGAUUGCCUGAAAUGUAUUUACUUUGCUCUAUGAUGUUGUGCUUCUCGUUGCCAUUUCUGAGAGAAGAAACCUUACCAUUUCUGUGCUUUUCCAGGGAAUUUAGUCAGAGGAAACACAUCAGCUGGGAGCACAGUGAGUUGAUGGAUAUCCACUGACAAAGCUGAAAAGCAGAUGGUUUUUGUUUCUAUUCCAACCUAACAGCAGAGAAAACUCCAAUUACAAUAUUCUAAACUGCUAAGGUUAUUCUCAAUAAAUGUGAUCUCCAUUUGGAUGAUUAGCCUGAAAAAAUAAAAUAAAAUAAAAUGAGGCCCUUUUUAAAACUGAGCUCAUCUACUAAUCAGACAAGCUAACAAAAUGACAGCAAUCUAAAAUGUAGCCAGUAAAAAUCAAAGGACACUCAGACUGCACCAGCCCUGGGCUGUGCUGACACUUUGCUGCAGUUUGAUGGCCACAAUACCCAUAUGAACAACAUACAAAAAGUUUCUCCAAUAUUCCUCCGAACACAAAGCUAAUCAUGCCACCUUGAAAGUAAAAAUACUGUAGCAUUUUAAUUGAAAGGAAAAAAAAAAUAUGCUAACCACUCCACCUUUUUUCCCAAGAAAAAUCAAUCAAGGAAUCCUCAACUAAGAGUUGACCUCUUACAUCCCAUCUCUAACUAGGAAGAUUAUGGACUCAAUUAUUUUCUUAAUAAUUUCUUUCUCUGAAGAAGGACAUAAAGUUUUCAAAUAAGAAGUUUAAAAGGCUUUGAACAGCAAUGACCACAUGCCAUGAAAAAUAGAGGGGAAGAUUACCAAAGUGCCUGUUUUAUAUAUAAAGGUCAGUGCUUCUGGUAUUUUCAGACCAAAUGACAUUGUUUUACCCAAAAUUAAUGGGGAUUUCAAGGGGAAGGAAUGUAUCUGCUCUGUGCAGUUAGCAGGGAUCUUUAGUACUCACUUAUUCCAUCUUUCUUUCAGCAUCUACUGAAUUAGUGCACUCUGGUCCACUAAGAGCUCUGGAAGAUGCACAUGCCUCAGAUACGGAAGGAAUGUGGUGGUGCUGCCCACAAAGCCACAGCAAGCAGCUGCAGAGCAGUCUCAGACCAAGAUUGCUACUUUUAUAUCCCCAAUAACACAUUUAAAAAGAGACCAAAAUUGGCCAAGAGCUCAUUCCUGAGACCCUCUCUCACAACACACAGCUCCUGGAUGCCACAAUUUGGAUGCCAGUUUGGUACACCCCCACAUUUUGGUGUUUCCCUUUCUGCAUCUGUGUUUCCAUCCCAGUGGCUGUGCUAUGGGAGCUCUGUGCUGUUCAAAGAGAGACAAAAAGUGGGGAAGAAAAAUUAGUCAGGCAAGUUUUCAGCUGCUUUAUGACUCCAACUCCUUUUUGUCUCCUGCAGCCUGACGUUAUCAACCCGAUCUCUUUGCCCAGGGAGCAGAGGGCAUUUGGAUCCCAUUGCUUGCUGAUUGCCUCCUGCUCUCAUUUCCCUGAUUAUUUAGAGCCCUCAUACUCUAAAUUCAACAGGAUCAAACUCAACUAAUUACUUCUUUAUCACUCCCAGGACAACUGCUGGCAGACAAAAAAUAUCCCUUGUUUAUAAAAUGCCUCCAAAACCCUGAAGAGAGAGUGUCUGGAGGUGCUUCUACAUGGCUACAAACAAUAAGGGAUCUUUUCCUACACGGUUACAGAAGAAGCUGGAAAUUAUGUCUGCACAGUCAGACCUCUGUCCCAAGCUUCACAACUCUGCCUUCAUUCACACACAACCUAACACACAACAUUCACACAUAACCUAUCCCUGCAAGCUUCAGGGUGAAUCUUCCCAUCCCGAUCCACUUGGAGUCAAGUUCAUCCUCAGGAGAUUCCUCCUGGGAUAAAUGUGGCCACACCUCUCUGCUCCAGCAGCAGUGCCAGCAGCCUGUAAAGGCAGCAGAGAUUCCCCAGAGCAGUGGGAGCAGGCAAUCACCCAGUGCUUCUUGCCAUCCUGUGCAGAGGAAGACUCUAAUUCCCUUUCUAGCUCAGCACCAAAGAAGGAUGGGAUUCUUUUCAUUUACACUUGCAGAAAACUGGCUUGCAAGCUGCAGAAGUCAAACUUAUAUGGCAUUUUAAAACUCCCUAUCAUUACUUAAUACCUGCCAUAAAAAUUACAGGCAGCAGUUUUGUCUUUAUACCUGCAAAUACAACAUUCUUGAAGAAACCUGUGACCCUACUGGCUUUUGUGUUUUGUUUUUGCAUCCAGAAGAUGAUCAUACUUGUCCCAAGAUGAAAACAAGUGCCAAGCAAUUACAUUUACAACCUACAUAUUCUUUGGUAGACACUUCUAAAAGAGGAAGCUGAUGUUUUUACUCCUAGAGUCACACAUAACCAUUUAAUCAGAAACAUCCAAAUAAUUUCAAAUGAAUAAAUACCACUGAGCUUGCUCUGCAGGAGUUCUGUGUUUGAACAGGUGAGCUCCCAGAGCAGCUGAGCACUGCCAGUGCUGGAAACUCUGGGCUCUGACACGGGAUGAGUAAUGGAAGUGGGAAGCUCCUGUGAGUGAUCCACAUAUUAGUGCCACUUGAUAGAUGAAGUACUUUUCAUAUCAGAUAUCCCUGCAUUUUAACUACAUUGCAAUUACACUGCAACCAUAAUAACCAUCAGCUCAACUCCACCACACAGUGAGCAGCUAUCACACCUUUCCCACACCUAAAUAAGAGGUAAUUGCAGUUACAUCACCCUUAUCACAAAAGGGCUUUUUUGAGUAAUUAAUGACUUUAAUUACAGCAUGGCCAUGCUGCCUAAAUGAAGCAUUUCAGUGACAGAUGAAGACUAACGAGUGUGUCACAAACCUGUGCCAUGGCAGUCCUGCACAUGCAAACCACUGGGCACUACAGAGUGCUCACAAAGCACCACAGAGUGCUCAACACUUUGAUAUCAAUGAGACUGAGGCACAGCACACCAGACUUUCCAGUAAUCCCAGAUACAACAUAAAAUGUUGAUAAUUUCACAAAUAAUUAACAGGACCAUUCCCUAUAUAUUUGACAAUAUGGACCCGUGAUUUUUUCUUAAGGGAGUUCCAUGCAAAUGAGAGAAGUAAUUUUUGCAUACUUCCCCCCCCCACCAGUUUCAGUGUAAAUGAUACUGAUGAGUUUAAUCUUGUUAAUAAAUGAAAUUAAACCUUUAUGAAUAGUGAAUUUCAAUCAAAGUCACCUGGGCUUAGCAGUCUCAGUCUGAACAUCUCCUAAGUCCUUGGCAUAACCACACUCUGAGCCCACAUACUCACAGUUCCACUGAUUCAUUACUUGGGCAAAGCUGCAUUAAUUCUGUACAUAAAUGCAUCUCCAUUUGAUUGAUACAAAACCAUUCAAUAUCGGGCUGAUUUUAAUCCCAAGAUGACCAAUAAACAAAAAAAACAAGCCCAAACAAGGAUACCAACAACUGAGAUAUCCAUAGGUAAAUAAUGGAUAAUUUUAGCAGUACAAAAGCCUGCCUGGCUGACAUGGGAAUUUCAGGAUACAGGGAAAGGAGUUGGCUUUUUUGAGAGCAACUGCUACAUAGCACUAGUGUAUAAAUAAAACAAGGAACCAAUUCACUGAUCUCUGCUCAGAGAAUUCAGCUGCCCUCACACUAAAAACUGCCUUUCCCCAUCAGGACACAAAGACAAUUCAUGUGGCAUUCCAGAGUGAAAGGCAGGAGGAGGCUCAGUCUGGGGGCAUCACUCCGAGGACAGUGAUGGGAACAUGACAUCCCUGGGAAUUAAGGCAAAGUACCCCCAGGAAGAGGCACUCAGUGAAGUACCAGGCAUUUCCCUUCUCCUCCAGACCCCUGGUACCUUAUCCAAGGCAUAUCCUAAGAAGAAAGGGAUUUUGGGCUCACAAGUCAUAAAUUAUGAGCAGUAUUUCUCUUGGACAUGUUGAGAUAAAUUCCACCUUGUAGUUCUGAUUACACUGUAUUUCCAGACAGGACACAGAACACAAAUACCCUUUGAAGCUGUAAAAUUCCUGCUCCUGGUGUUUUACAGUUCAUUUUGUUGAGAUAGUAGAAUCUCUACAGCUACCAUGACUACAUCUCUCUGAUUUUCAAAAAUGUUUCAGCCUUUAGAAAACGUCACCCUUAAUUUAAGUGCAGUGUCAGAACUGGCUCCUCCUUGGGAAAAUGCAGCAGGCACACACACAGUUAUCAUCUUCCUUGAAUUACCUUCAGAGGAAGUAGAAUAUGACCCUUUGAGAGAAGCCUUGUGAUUGCAGCACCUAGAUAAUGUUACCUCUCUUCUUCAUAAGUGGUGAAAAAUCGAUGAGCUUGACUAAAUUAAUUUACUUCAACCUCAGCUCUUGUCAAUAGCAAACAAAUUAUUUGAGCUGGGGCUCUGUUCAGUGAGCUAUAGAUACAGCCAAUAACUCAUCAGUAAAUGCUGGCUCCAAAGUGAAGCUUCUUAGGUAUCUAAAUCACUAUCUCCAACUAUACAUAUUUUGUAUGUAAUGCAACAUUUAGGUUGGUUUUCUGGAUAGAACAUCAAUACACCUCCACUCCUGUCAUUCCAGUUUUAACACAGGCUUCUCCCUAAGCACACCCAGGCCACUGCUAGCUGUCCAAAAUCCAGGACUGCCUCCCCCUCUGGCAAGUACCUUGUCAUUGGAAUAUGAAGUUAAAGUCCUGUAUUCUUAGGCCAGCUCUCUCACUUAUUCUCUUUACAAUGUGUGGCAAGAGGCGAUUGAUUUAUGGCACCUCUAAAUCACACUUCUGGAAAUGCUAAAAAAGAGAGAGAAAGCUUCGAGUCUCCCACUUCCUCACUGUGUCCUUCAGGUCACUACAUGAGAGCAGCCAAUGCCGUUCCCUGUUUGAGGGGUGUAAUCCAACUGCCCACAGCCAGGAGACAAACGAGGCAUUGAGAAGCAGCAGCUCUGGGCUGUAACUCUCCAGCAACGCUGAGCCAAGCUGGAGGGAGGUACUUCUACCUGGGAGAGAGGGAAGGCUUCAUACAUCCUCUUUCUGGUUUUCUUCAGCUAAUGAAAGAAUGCUGGUACUUCCAUGUUUCAGACACACCCCAUGCCUUUGGAUUUAAAGCAAUUUAUGAGUCUCCUACCAAAAUCCAAUGGUGCCAAGUCUGUAAACUGUGGUGCCACCUUGCUGUUGUGACUGAGCCACCCCUUGGCUGAUAAAGGAGAAGUGGAGUGCACAUCCCCCAGGACCCUGCACACAACAACUCUGCUGUCAGCAGCUCAUGGGACAGACACUCAGCCUCAGAUUGCUCUGAGCAGCUUUUGGGAACAACAAACAGCAAAGGGACAGAGGAAAAUUCAGAAGUUUAUCUUGUCCUUCAGUAAACUGGCACAGAGCCAUGGAAAUCAAUGAAACAAAGCUCAUUUAGAGCCCCACAGGCUCGGACCUACUGCUUGCUGAGUAAUAUUUGCAAGCUUCCAAGAUAUCACAAACUAUAAGAAUUCCUCUCCCUCCCAACAGCUGAGGGAGAAAUCUCUCCAUGCACACAUCAGUCUACAACACAAAUAACACCUUCCAACAGGGUACAUUUACACUGCUGCUUGGCAAGGAACACCAAUGCAUGCAAUGGAUGAUCUGCUGCCUGUGCUGGAGGAACCAGAGUUCAAUGGUACUGACUUCUGGGCAGCAAUGAUUUUGUCCAAGGUGUUUAAGCUGACAAGAGAGCACAAUGGAGGGCAGAGGGAAGAGGAGGAGAAACUGUAUCUGUGUGUUUUCAUCAUGAGAAGAGGAUGAAAGGACAGUGGUGGCAUGGUCAGACAGGGCAGGGGUCUGUAAUCACCACAGAAGCCAUGACUGAGCAUCUUCUGCAGCUCUACAGCCACAUAAAUCACACCUGCAAAUUCGUGACCCCAUUGGAAUCGGAGAAUUUGCAAAGAAGAAACCAAGAAAUUCAGCUGGAACUGAAGAAGAUGAGAGAGAUACCAAGAAUAAAUUUUCCAUUGGAAAAUGGAAAUUAGACCUUAUUCCAAGAGCAGCUUCCUUUAUCCUGCCAAGAGCAGCAGACUGUUGCAAAGGCAGGAGGGGUCCCAUCCCAUUAAAAAGUGCCCUGGACAUGUCUGUAAUUGGGAACGUCCAGGCCUUGUUUGCUGUGAACAAACCCCAGCAGAUAUUGGCCCCAGAAAUUGCUGCCAUUCAUUUGAUAAGUCUGUGCUUGGGUUCUUGCUGCUGGCAGUCUCUCUCCUAAAUAAUUAAAGAUGAAGAAUGGUUUCUCUCUUGGCAAUUCCUCUAAAAAAUGGGAUAUUUGGAAGCAUAGUCCUUGAAAGCAUGCUGGCCUUAUUACUGGAGAAAAGAUGACAUUGGGCAGAGUCUGAAGCACAGUAAAAUGCUCAUCCUUGCUCCAGUUUCCUUUAAAAAGAUGCCACCUAAGAAUUUCCAAAGUUACGAAGGGGCUGCAAGAUUUAAAUGGAAAUUUGUUUAGGGAAACACAAAUGUAGCCACAGAAAUUAGUAUGGGAUGGUGAAUAAGUGUUUAGAAAUUGAACAGAUCUCUUAGGAGUCUGUUUUUAUUUGGUUUUAUCCUGAAGUGGAAAACCUGCAAUG